rnacentral:lncRNA from 12 species
UGGUGAUGACCGUGUGGGCAAGGAGGGCCCUGACUCACUGUGCUUUCUCUGCUUGGCUUCCCCACCUCCAAAAGGGAGGAAUGUGCAUCGGGCUGAGGAUUGCUGCUCAUCUCAGGCUCCUUUGUUAUUUCUGAGCUCAGGCGGCUGUCCCAGUCCUGUGGAAGAGUGCCAGUGUUUUCCUAGGCUCUGUGGGGAGUGACGUCCCUUGGACACCUUGGUCUUCUGUCUCAUCUUCUCUUUGGAGUCUGAGAUGCAGGCGACAGCCACUGGAAGCCUUGUUCCAAGUUUCUCACUUAGAUGGAGCUAAUCCUGUCAAAAAUACUGAGUUGAGGGCUUUUCUUUUAACGACGGGAGAGAGUAACAUGAGUAAGUGUGUCUCUCCUGGUGACUGGGACUUUCUUCCUGGGGGACCAUCCCAAGGUCUACCUUGGAGAGUGAAUUGACAGGCUCAUUGGUCUUCAGCUGAACAGUCCUCCCCAAAUUAAUCAGAACUAAUGUGGAGAUCAUUUGGUGCUCCAUCUAGCUCUCACGAGAUGUCGAGCUCAGGUGAGAGGAAAUUAUUUACUGGGUCUCUCAAAAAUCUACCCUUGUUGUUAACAGUUUAUAUUUAAUUCAUUUGUCUUAUUGACUCCAUAUAUACAUUUAUCAGAACAAGCCAUAGAGAUCCAGAGAUCUCCAUACAUAAUCGUGCAAAAAUUUUUGUGGUGAUGGUAUGUUGUCUUGUUUUAUUUCCUGGACUUAUUUUAGAAUUUUAGCCAUUGGAUUUUACUUUUCCUCUCGGAAUACAGUUCAAGAUUGUCAAGGACUUUCUGAGUCAUGGCAGUGUAGUUAGUCAUUGAAUUGUGUUUUAAUGACUCCAGUGAAUUCAUUAUUAUGUUGUGAUAAAGCUCAGAGAAGAUAAAACAUCUAGAUUGCCUACUGAAAGGACACAGGUAUGGGGAUGCAUCUAGAAAAGGGGACGAAGCAGCUGCCACAAAGUGCUGGAGAAAUUUAGGGAGGCACUUCUAUAAAGCUGGCAAGGCAGGUCUAAACCCAUGAUGCUGACUCCCACUGAUCCCAGAAAAAGUUGAAUUUAUCAAAGGUUGACCACUCAAACAGGAAAACAAAAGCUCUGUAUUUCCUUAUUCCUCAUGUUUCUUCAUUAGGCUGAUGAUAUACUUGUAGAUCUGUGUGUAGCCACCCCAGUAGGACCACAAGUGUUCCAUGCUCUUAAUUCCUUUUUAAUCCCCUUCCCCUGCUCCGGGCUCCAGUGAUUUUAAUAGCAUCCAGUUUCCUAGGCUUGACCUGCCCCACUGAAUAAGCAUACUCUCUACAAACUAAAUUAUUUUGAUUACCAAUGUAUUUUAAAUUUUGUUCUGUUUGGUGGGUGGCUUCUGUUUUUUUUCUGCUUUAAAUACAUAGCCUGUUACUACAUAUAUCUCUAGUUCAAGGAGUCUCAAAGGGUUUGCUCUCCAGACAUCUUUACACUCUUAAAAAUGAAGAUUCCAUAGAGCUUCUUUUUACCGUAUUACGUCCAUAUUAGAAACUAAAAGUGAGAGCCUUAAAAGCUAUUAAUUUAUUUGAAAUGACAAUAAAAACCAUUACACAUUAACGUAUAUAUUUUGU